rnacentral:rRNA from 1 species
AUUGAACGCUGGCGGCAGGCCUAACACAUGCAAGUCGAACGAGUGGCGCACGGGUGUGUAUUGUCUGUGAAACUGCCUGACGGUGGGGGAUAACUACUGGACACGGUAGCUAAUACCGCACACCAUCAGAUGUGCCCAGAUGGUAUUAGCCGGUUGGUGGUGUAACGGCGCGCCAAGGCGACGACCCGUAGCUGGUCUGCUCGGAUGACCAGCCACACUGGAACUGAGACACGGUCCAGACUACUACGGGAGGCGGGAGUGGGGAGUAUUGCACAGGGGGAGCAAGGGUAAUGCGGACAUGCCGAGUGGAUGAAGAAGUCAUUCGGGUUGUAAAGUAAUUUCAGCGGGGAGGCGUUACCAGAAGAAGAAGCACCGGCUAACUCCGUGCCAGCAGCCGCGGUAAUAC